rnacentral:snRNA from 1 species
GUGCUUGCUUCGGCAGCACAUAUACUAAAAU